ACGUGGUUAGUACCGCCGCCAAAUGGUGCAGGUGAUCCUCCCAUGCUUCCGUGUACACAGCUAAGCACAAGCACAAGGCACACAGGCAAGGCAUCAAGUGGGGAUACCGCUCAUGUGAAGACCUAACGUCUGCGAUGUUUCUUCUGUAAUUAAAACACGCUGGUGAUAGCUGUUGAAGGUUGCUAGUCGCCUGCAAGUCGAUAUUACACAAAGAGCGCGCAAAGCUGACUUCUUACAAAGGCACUCCAGAACUGGCUGCAAGGUCGGAUGGAAGGGGGCAAUACAUGGAAACGAAUUGUACCAUCAGCCAAGGAUUUUCCAUUAUCAUUCGUCCUUCAUUACUAAAUUUGUCACAGAGAUGUUGCAAUAUGGAUUGGAUAGGAGCUACAAAUAAUAUAAUGACUGUGGAUAUGCUUCACCUAUCUCCAUCGCAGUUUUGUGAAAUAUUCUGGUUGAUAUUCAGCAACGCCCAGUUUGCACGCAAACAACUUUGAUGUGAUUAGAUUGAUGCAAAAAGGAAUAUAAAGUUUGGUUUUCCCUAUUUCUCAUAUCUGGGAAUAGCCUGGAGGAAUUGCACAAAAACUAGCUGCGCCUUUCACGACU